rnacentral:rRNA from 1 species
GAUGAACGCUAGCGGGAGGCUUAACACAUGCAAGUCGAGCGGGAGGGGUAGCAAUACCCUGAGAGCGGCGCACGGGUGCGUAACGCGUAUGCAACCUGCCUUAUACAAAGGGAUAGCCCAUGGAAACGUGGAUUAAUAUCUUAUAGGACUUAUGAAUCGCAUGGUUUAUAAGUUAAAACUACGGUGGUAUAAGAUGGGCACGCGUCUGAUUAGGUAGUUGGUAGGGUAACGGCCUACCAAGCCGACGAUCAGUAGGGGUUCUGAGAGGAUUACCCCCCACACUGGUACUGAGACACGGACCAGACUCCUACGGGAGGCAGCAGUGAGGAAUAUUGGUCAAUGGGCGAGAGCCUGAACCAGCCAUCCCGCGUGCAGGAUGACGGCCCUAUGGGUUGUAAACUGCUUUUCUACUCCAAGAAACCCACCUACGUGUAGGUGGUUGACGGUAGAGUAGGAAUAAGCAUCGGCUAACUCCGUGCCAGCAGCCGCGGUAAUGCGGAGGAUGCAAGCGUUAUCCGGAUUCAUUGGGUUUAAAGGGUGUGCAGGUGGGAAUGUAAGUCAGUGGUGAAAUACUGCCGCUUAACGGUAGAGCUGCCAUUGAUACUGCGUUUCUUGAGUAUGGUUGAGGUAGGUGGAAUGUGUUGUGUAGCGGUGAAAUGCAUAGAUAUGACACAGAACGCCGAUUGCGAAGGCAACUUACUAAGCCAUUACUGACGCUGAGGCACGAAAGCGUGGGUAGCGAACAGGAUUAGAUACCCUGGUAGUCCACGCUGUAAACGAUGUUCACUCGCUGUCUGCGAUACACA